rnacentral:rRNA from 1 species
UGGGCGUUAAGUUGCAGGGUAUAGACCCGAAACCCGGUGAUCUAGCCAUGGGCAGGUUGAAGGUUGGGUAACACUAACUGGAGGACCGAACCGACUAAUGUUGAAAAAUUAGCGGAUGACCUGUGGCUGGGGGUGAAAGGCCAAUCAAACCGGGAGAUAGCUGGUUCUCCCCGAAAGCUAUUUAGGUAGCGCCUCGUGAAUUCAUCUCCGGGGGUAGAGCACUGUUUCGGCCAGGGGGCCAUCCCGGCUUACCAAUCCGAUGCAAACUGCGAAUACCGGAGAAUGUUAUCACGGGAGACACACGGCGGGUGCUAACGUCCGUCGUGAAGAGGGAAACAACCCAGACCGCCAGCUAAGGUCCCAAAGUCAUGGUUAAGUGGGAAACGAUGUGGGAAGGCCCAGACAGCCAGGAUGUUGGCUUAGAAGCAGCCAUCAUUUAAAGAAAGCGUAAUAGCUCACUGGUCGAGUCGGCCUGCGCGGAAGAUGUAACGGGGCUAAACCAUGCACCGAAGCUGCGGCAGCGACACUGAUGUGUUGUUGGGUAGGGGAGCGUUCUGUAAGCCGUUGAAGGUGGCCUGUGAGGGUUGCUGGAGGUAUCAGAAGUGCGAAUGCUGACAUAAGUAACGAUAAAGCGGGUGAAAAGCCCGCUCGCCGGAAGACCAAGGGUUCCUGUCCAACGUUAAUCGGGGCAGGGUGAGUCGACCCCUAAGGCGAGGCCGAAAGGCGUAGUCGAUGGGAAACGGGUUAAUAUUCCCGUACUUGGUGUUACUGCGAAGGGGGGACGGAGAAGGCUAUGUUGGCCGGGCGACGGUUGUCCCGGUUUAAGCGUGCAGGUGUGUGUUCCAGGUAAAUCCGGUUCACUUUAACACUGAGGCGUGACGACGAGGCACUACGGUGCUGAAGCAACAAAUGCCCUGCUUCCAGGAAAAGCCUCUAAGCCUCAGGUAACAUCAAAUCGUACCCCAAACCGACACAGGUGGUCAGGUAGAGAAUACCAAGGCGCUUGAGAGAACUCGGGUGAAGGAACUAGGCAAAAUGGUGCCGUAACUUCGGGAGAAGGCACGCUGACACGUAGGUGAAGUGGUUUACCCAUGGAGCUGAAGUCAGUCGAAGAUACCAGCUGGCUGCAACUGUUUAUUAAAAACACAGCACUGUGCAAACACGAAAGUGGACGUAUACGGUGUGACGCCUGCCCGGUGCCGGAAGGUUAAUUGAUGGGGUCAGCGCAAGCGAAGCUCCUGAUCGAAGCCCCGGUAAACGGCGGCCGUAACUAUAACGGUCCUAAGGUAGCGAAAUUCCUUGUCGGGUAAGUUCCGACCUGCACGAAUGGCGUAAUGAUGGCCAGGCUGUCUCCACCCGGGACUCAGUGAAAUUGAACUCGCUGUGAAGAUGCAGUGUACCCGCGGCAAGACGGAAAGACCCCGUGAACCUUUACUAUAGCUUGACACUGAACACUGGUCCUUGAUGUGCAGGAUAGGUG